rnacentral:rRNA from 1 species
UAGGGAAUUUUCGGCAAUGGGGGGAACCCUGACCGAGCAACGCCGCGUGAAGGAAGAAGGAAUUCGUUCUGUAAACUUCUGUUAUAAAGGAAGAAAGACGGAUGGAGGAAAUGACAUCCGAGUGACGGUACUUUAUGAGAAAGCCACGGCUAACUACGUGCCAGCAGCCGCGGUAAUACGUAGGUGGCAAGCGUUAUCCGGAAUUAUUGGGCGUAAAGAGGGAGCAGGCGGCAGCAAAGGUCUGUGGUGAAAGACUGAAGCUUAACUUCAGUAAGCCAUAGAAACCGGGCAGCUAGAGUGCAGGAGAGGAUCGUGGAAUUCCAUGUGUAGCGGUGAAAUGCGUAGAUAUAUGGAGGAACACCAGUGGCGAAGGCGACGAUCUGGCCUGCAACUGACGCUCAGUCCCGAAAGCGUGGGGAGCAAAUAGG